UCAGUAGGCCGGGUGACCGCCCCGACUUCGUCGGGGAGGAAAGUCCGAGCUCCACCGGGCAGCGUGCUGGGUAACUCCCAGGCGGGGCGACCCGACGGAAAGUGCCACAGAAACACACCGCCCCGAUUCUGUCGGGGCAAGGGUGAAAUGGUGCGGCAAGAGCGCACCAGCGGCCGGGUGACCGGUCGGCUGGGCAAACCCCACGUGGAGCAAGGCCAAAUAGGAGGACACAAGGACGCCCGGCCUGUCCUCGGGUUGGCCGCUGGAGGUGGCGGGCAACCGCCAUCCUAGAUUGAUGGUCACC
rnacentral:RNase_P_RNA from 1 species